AGGAGAGCUAGGUGUUGUCAGACACAAAGUCCUCCUCAGGCCUUGCACAUGGUUUCCUCCUCCCGUGUCUGCAGUUCUUUUCUCCUCUGUUAAGAGACACUAAGUGAUAGGUGGAACAUUCCAACAUUCAAAUGACGACGUGACAAUUGCUCUUGUUCUAUCCUCACCUGAGCAGGGGACGAAGCCCAGCAGAGAGAGGAGCAGGGCGUACUGGAUGUGGCAGGCUCCCAUGGCUUCUCUGAGACUGGGAAGAGCUGAUCAGGACCUGGGAACUGAUAAACUACAGGAGUGAAUUCAACCAGACAGGGAUGGGUUAAUCCUUGUUUUCUGGCCAGAGACAGUUCUGGAGAACCUAAGACAAUUGGCCGGGGAGCCCUCUGAUUUAAGCCUCUGUCAGGACUUCAAAUUCUAAGCAGAAUCUUCCCAAAGCCUCAGCAUCUCAGUCCUCAGGAUCCUGCUCUCCCCAACCACAGAAUAUGGUCACCAAAACCUCGGGCUUGGAAGGCACUUCAGUUGCGCGCUGAAGUAACCCGUCUGUGCAUGCGCAACUGCUGUCAGGCGCACAAAAGUGGCAUCCUCCUUCAAGCAAGAGAGUUGAAGUCCCAUUUGUUGAGAAAAUAUUCAUUGCGUGCCUUCAUUGGAUAAGCUCGGAGAACUUCUGCAUCUCAUUGGUCCCCAGUGAAGCCAAUAACUGGCCGCUACAGAAGGCACGCAUGCGCAGAAAGAGAGUGUUGGGCAGUUGCUGUGGAGGUCAUCCUCCAAUCCCAGGGUCACAUGGUAUCUAGGCGGGCUCUGUGAGGAACGCCCUUUGCCCUGUCACUGGAGAUGCCUCUAAAUUGUACAUAUGAGCAGGGAGCUGGUGACGGCCCAGAUUGCCAUCACAGAUAUUUACCCUCCUCAGUCCCGGGGAAGAUGAGCAUUCAGAUUAGACAUAGUUAUCAAUUCUUUUAUUACAUUUUAUUUAUUUUUUUGUGCGUAGACACACGUGUUAAGGGUCACAUGACAGAGGACAAUUUGGCGAAUUUACUCCUUCCACCAUUUAGGUAACAUGAAUCAAAUGCAAGAUGUCGGGUUUGGUGACAGGUAUCUUUAUGCCUUGAGGAAUCUUGCUGGUUCUUGCCAUUUUUGUUAGAAAUAUUAAUAUAUUCACUAUUUAAAGUAAU